UGAGAUAAAAUUUAAAUGUUUAAUUCGAUUUGAACUCAAUUCCGCGGAUUUGGCAUGAUAUAAGUUCGGUGUCCCUAAUUUUCCGCCCAAAAUGAAUUCAAAAUUUUCAAAUUCCAGGCAUUUUGUUCUCCAAUGGAACUCCCUUCCCGAUUCGCUCUCCUCUCAUCUCAACCAAUAUAUCUCUUUCACUCGCUCAUCACACCAAUCACGCGGGUUAACAAUCAAUUCAUUUUGAUUUUGAAUUGGAUUUAAUUACAACUCAAACUCACCAAGCUGAUCUCAGAAGACGCUGGUGCUAGUUACGUUGGUGCGAUGUCGAGAUCAACCACACAUCUGAUGUGUUGGAAAUCUGACGGAAAGAAAUUCGAUCUUGUGAAGUUUUAAACGACAAUAGUAAAUCAUCGUCGGGUUGUCCCUGAAGCUCCUUAUACGCUGUAAUGGAGAAUCCUAUAGCAUUAUGAACUGUAAAGUGGAUUUAUGGCUCUGAUUUUGAUGCCACCUCCCAAUCAUCACCCCUUAUUAAUAUUCCUUCGCGAAGAUUAUUUCUGAAUGUUUUAGGAGUGGAUGGAAUAUGGGCUAAACUUUAUUUUGACAAUUGAAAUUGAAAUUUAUUUGAUAAUAUUAUUUAUUUAAUAGAUCA